AGUGAACGCUGGCGGUAGGCCUAACACAUGCAAGUCGAACGGCAGCACAGUAAGAGCUUGCUCUUACGGGUGGCGAGUGGCGGACGGGUGAGGAAUACAUCGGAAUCUACUUUUUCGUGGGGGAUAACGUAGGGAAACUUACGCUAAUACCGGAUACGACCUACGGGUGAAAGCAGGGGAUCUUCGGACCUUGCGCGAUUGAAUGAGCCGAUGUCGGAUUAGCUAGUUGGCGGGGUAAAGGCCCACCAAGGCGACGAUCCGUAGCUGGUCUGAGAGGAUGAUCGCCCACACGGGAGCGGAGACGGGGCCAGGCCCCCUAGGGGAGGCAGCAGUGGGGAAUUUUGGAAAGUGGGGCCAAGCUUGACCCAGCCGUCCCGGGUGGGAGAAAAAGGCUUUGGGUUUGUAAGGCCUUUUUGUGGGGAAAAAAAAGCAGCAGUUUAAUACCCCGCUUUUCUGACGGUACCAAAAAAAAAAGCACCGGCUAACUUCGUG
rnacentral:rRNA from 1 species